GCCAGACUCCUACGGGAGGCAGCAGUGAGGAAUAUUGGUCAAUGGCCGAGAGGCUGAACCAGCCAAGUCGCGUGAGGGAAGACGGCCCUACGGGUUGUAAACCUCUUUUGUCGGGGAGCAAAGCGAACCACGUGUGGUUCAUUGAGAGUACCCGAAGAAAAAGCAUCGGCUAACUCCGUGCCAGCAGCCGCGGUAAUACGGAGGAUGCGAGCGUUAUCCGGAUUUAUUGGGUUUAAAGGGUGCGUAGGCGGCCUUUUAAGGCGGGGGUAAAAGCCCGGGGCCCAACCCCGGCGAGCCGUUGAAACUGGCUGUCUUGAGAUGUCGAGAGGUAUGCGGAAUGCGCAGUGUAGCGGUGAAAUGCGUAGAUAUUAGGAGGAACACCAGUGGCGAAGGCGACUUUCUGGACUGUACCUGACGCUGAGGCGCGAAAGCGUGGGUAGCGAACGGGAUUAGAUACCCUCGUAAG
rnacentral:rRNA from 1 species